CCCAAGCCCAAUGGACCCAGACU
rnacentral:siRNA from 1 species